UACGGGGGGGCAAGCGUUGUUCGGAAUUACUGGGCGUAAAGGGCUCGUAGGCGGCCAACUAAGUCAGACGUGAAAUCCCGUCGGCUUAACCGGGGAACUGCGUCUGAUACUGGAUGGCUUGAGUUCGGGAGAGGGAUGCGGAAUUCCAGGUGUAGCGGUGAAAUGCGUAGAUAUCGGAGGAACACCGGUGGCGAAGGCGGCAUCCUGGACCGACACUGACGCUGAGGAGCGAAAGCCAGG
rnacentral:rRNA from 1 species